AUGAGAUCUUUAAUGCUGUCCUAAAAUAAUUCAUGAUUUAUUCGAAAAAAAAAAUUAUAGCAAUUGAUAAGAUCAGAUAAGUCUUAUAGUAUAAAGUAUAAACUCUUAAUUCAAAUAUUGAAGUUAUUGUAUAAAUAUAAACUAUAAACGCGAGAAUUCUGGAUCACCCCAUUUUUUUUCAUUCUAAACUUUUUUUCCAUUG
rnacentral:lncRNA from 1 species